UACGUAGGGUGCAGGCGUUAAUCGGAAUUACUGGGCGUAAAGCGUGCGCAGGCGGCUCCUUAAGUCAGAUGUGAAAGCCUCGGGCUUAACCUGGGAACUGCGUUUGAAACUGGGGAGCUAGAGUGUAGAAGAGGGGGGUGGAAUUCCAGGUGUAGCAGUGAAAUGCGUAGAUAUCUGGAGGAACACCGAUGGCGAAGGCAGCCCCCUGGGCUAACACUGACGCUGAGGAGCGAAAGCGUGGGUAGCAAACAGG
rnacentral:rRNA from 1 species